CGCGUAGACGGAUCUGUAAGUCAGAUGUGAAAUACCGGGGCUCAACCCCGGGGCUGCAUUUGAAACUAUGGAUCUUGAGUGCAGGAGAGGGAAGCGGAAUUCCUAGUGUAGCGGUGAAAUGCGUAGAUAUUAGGAGGAACACCAGUGGCGAAGGCGGCUUUCUGGACUGUAACUGACGUUGAGGCGCGAAAGUGUGGGGAGCAAACA
rnacentral:rRNA from 1 species